rnacentral:sRNA from 1 species
CUCUGCGGCGGGCACAGCCCUUGAUCACCCUGUGCCGGCGUCCCCGAGGCGGGGGACGGCCGGCCGCGGGCCCGGCUGCCGCCGCGCGACUCCACCCGUGGUGGGGCGGGGGCGGCUGGCCGGCGGAGCCCCUCGCGCGGGGCCUGUCCAGCUCUCCUUCGGAGAUCUUGCAGGAGCUGGGCAAGGGGAGCACGCAUCCGCAGCCCGGGGUGUCGCCACCCGCUGCCCCGGCGGCGCCCGGCCCCAAGGACGGCCCCGGGGAGACGGACGCGUUUGGCAACAGCGAGGGCAAAGAGCUGGUGGCCUCAGGUGAAAAUAAAAUAAAACAGGGUCUGUUACCUAGCUUGGAAGAUUUGCUGUUCUAUACAAUUGCGGAAGGACAAGAGAAAAUACCUGUUCAUAAAUUUAUUACAGCACUCAAAUCUACAGGAUUGCGAACGUCUGAUCCCAGGUUGAAAGAGUGUAUGGAUAUGUUAAGAUUAACUCUUCAAACAACGUCAGAUGGUGUCAUGCUAGACAAAGAUCUUUUUAAAAAGUAAAAGUUUCUGCCAAACCUUUAAUGGUGAUUUGCUAUGCUAUACGGUGAUUCUGCUUUUAAAACAAAAUUGCAUCUUUGAAGGCCACUGCUUCCUGUGUAAUGGAAAAAGGGGAUUUGUAAACAACAUUUGUUUGA